rnacentral:rRNA from 1 species
AAUCUACCUCAAAGCGCGGGAUAACGUGUCGAAAGACAGGCUAAUACCGCAUAAGCUCGCGGGCUGUAGAGGCCUGCGAGAAAAGGCUUAGGUCACUUUGAGAUGAGGCCGCGGCCCAUCAGCUAGUUGGCGUGGUAAGAGCACACCAAGGCGACGACGGGUAGGGGACCUGAGAGGGUGACCCCCCACACUGGGACUGAGACACGGCCCAGACUCCUACGGGAGGCAGCAGUGAGGAAUAUUGCACAAUGGGCGCAAGCCUGAUGCAGCGACGCCGCGUGGGUGAAGAAGGUUUUCGGAUCGUAAAACCCUUUUCUGUGUGACGAGCAAGGACGGUAGCACAGGAAUAAGUCUCGGCUAACUACGUGCCAGCAGCCGCGGUAAAACGUAAGAGACAAACGUUAUCCGGAGUUACUGGGCGUAAAGGGCGUGUAGGUGGUUGCGUAAGUCUGGCGUGAAAUUUUUCGGCUUAACCGGGAAAGGUCGUCGGAUACUGCGGAGCUAGAGGACGGUAGAGGCGUGUGGAAUUCCGGGUGUAGUGGUGAAAUGCGUAGAGAUCCGGAGGAACACCAGUGGCGAAGGCGACACGCUGGGCCGUACCUGACACUGAUGCGCGACAGCAUGGGGAGCAAAUAGGAUUAGAAACCCUGGUAGUCCAUGCCGUAAACGAUGCU